rnacentral:rRNA from 1 species
ACCCGCACAAGCGGUGGAUGAUGUGGAUUAAUUCGAUGCAACGCGAAGAACCUUACCUACCCUUGACAUGUCCGGAACUUGCCAGAGAUGGCUUGGUGCCCGAAAGGGAAUCGGAACACAGGUGCUGCAUGGCUGUCGUCAGCUCGUGUCGUGAGAUGUUGGGUUAAGUCCCGCAACGAGCGCAACCCUUAUCAUUAGUUGCUACGCAAGGGCACUCUAAUGAGACUGCCGGUGACAAACCGGAGGAAGGUGGGGAUGACGUCAAGUCCUCAUGGCCCUUAUGGGUAGGGCUUCACACGUCAUACAAUGGUCGGUACAGAGGGUUGCCAAGCCGCGAGGCGGAGCCAAUCCCACAAAGCCGAUCGUGGUCCGGAUUGUUCUCUGCAACUCGAGAGCAUGAAGUCGGAAUCGCUAGUAAUCGCAGGUCAGCAUACUGCGGUGAAUACGUUCCCGGGUCUU